rnacentral:rRNA from 1 species
UGAGGAAUAUUGGUCAAUGGGCGGAAGCCUGAACCAGCCAUGCCGCGUGCGGGAAGAAGGCGCUACGCGUCGUAAACCGCUUUUGUCCGGGGGUAACCGCGGGGACGUGUCCCCGCCUGCAAGUACCGGACGAAUAAGGGUCGGCUAACUCCGUGCCAGCAGCCGCGGUAAUACGGAGGACCCGAGCGUUAUCCGGAUUCAUUGGGUUUAAAGGGUGCGCAGGCGGCCCGGUCAGUCAGCGGUGAAAUGCCCGCGCUUCACGCGGGAGCUGCCGUUGAUACUGCCGGGCUAGAAUCUCAGCGAGGCGGGCGGAAUGCGCGGUGUAGCGGUGAAAUGCAUAGAUAUCGCGCAGAACGCCGAUUGGGGAGCCAGCUCGCCAGCUGGGUAUUGACGCUGAGGCACGAAAGCGUGGGGAUCGAACAGGAUUAGAUACCCUGGUAGUCCACGCCGUAAACGAUGAUGGCUCGC